AUUCCUACCGGGGGGAAGAAGAGAUACCAGGACCAAGAAGGUGGUUUUUCCCAGAGUGAAGCUUAUCCGCUGCACUCCAGAUAUGCUGACCUCUUGAAUUUCCCUGACAUGAGAAACUACAUAAUUUGUGGUAGUGGGGGGACUGCAUUUGUGCUCUCCCCUG